rnacentral:rRNA from 1 species
UACGGAGGGAGCUAGCGUUGUUCGGAAUCACUGGGCGUAAAGGGCGCGUAGGCGGCCGCUCAAGUCGGGGGUGAAAGCCUGUGGCUUAACCACAGAAUUGCCUUCGAUACUGUUUGGCUUGAGACCGGAAGAGGUGAGUGGAACUGCGAGUGUAGAGGUGAAAUUCGUAGAUAUUCGCAAGAACACCAGUGGCGAAGGCGGCUCACUGGUCCGGUUCUGACGCUGAGGCGCGAAAGCGUGGGGAGCAAACAGG